rnacentral:lncRNA from 1 species
AACUUAUGUACCAUAAAAUGCACCUAUUUGGGGUGGGGGGUGUAGCUCAGUGGUAGAUGGUGUGAUCAGCGUGCUCAUGGCCCUGGGUUCAAGCCCAGCAUCAAAACUUUGGAGCAGGGAGGCCCUGGGGACACGGCUCAGUAGUAGAACAUGGGCCCAGCAUGAAGAAGAAGUCUUGGGUUCAAUCCCAAUGCCACAACAACUUUUUUUCCCCACCUGUUUUAAAUAUAUAAUUCAGUAACUUAGUAAAUGGACAGUUGUGUGGCCACGGUCUCGAUCCAUCUAUAGACUGUUUCCCUCACCCCAAUAAAAUCUCUCAUGCCCUUCAUCAUGCUGAUGAUGUCAGAGCGCUCAGGAGCCAAUCACUCCCCCAAAAGGUGAAGGCAGUCAGUCCCCAGGGGCUGAGUGUGUUGUUUUGCCAGCGACUCCCCAGCCUCUGGGGAGUGUGUGUGUGUGUGGCCUCACACACUGUCCCCAGGCCCCAGCACAGGAGACUUCCCAUCCUUGCUUGCUUUCUGCAGAUGUGAUCUCAGGUGUGUCCUCUGGGUACCUCUGUGCACCUGGAGGGGCAGAAGGGCGCCUGGGUUUGUCCUUUGGGCACACCUGCUGCUCUCUGGGUCCUGAGCUCCACCAGUCCCAGGGCGGCCGAGGCUCCUACCCCCGGCUGCCCUGCCCUGUCCCACCUGCUUCCCUUGAUGUUGCCCAGGGUGCUGCUGGACAGGGCUCAGGCCUCUGCUCUUGCCAGCUGUCCAGGAGCAGGCCCAGGAGGAGCCUGUCCUGCCAGUCAGCUGUGCUGGGAGCGGUGACGAGAACAGAGGCUGGGGAGCAGCACAGCAAGA